AAUGUAGUAACGCAUUUAUAGAGAAAUCUGAGCCAGUGGUACCAUGGGCAUUUCUGGUCUAAGAAUCUUUUCUAAGACUAAGAGAACACUCAAGGGGCUGAAGGCAAGUUGUAGCUAUCUGAAAUACUGUGGUAAUUCACCUCCACUCCGGAAUGCUAGCCUCUGCUCCACGACAAGAAGAUUCAAGACAAUAGUGCUGACUUAGCAACUCUGCUCUGUCGUCACCAUAAGAAUUUUCCAAAUUUUAAUGAUGGAAAGAGAACUUAUUUCAUUGCUGUUGAUGAUUGUGAUAACAAAUGGAGUUCUAUCUUUUGCUCUGCUUUCCUUAUGAGAAACCUGUGUGGUCAUUGAUUGGAAAAUAAACACAGAACCUUCAGUAACUG